UACGUAGGGUGCGAGCGUUGUCCGGAAUUAUUGGGCGUAAAGAGCUCGUAGGCGGUCUGUCGCGUCGGUCGUGAAAACUUGGGGCUUAACCCUGAGCUUGCGGUCGAUACGGGCAUGACUGGAGUUCGGCAGGGGAGACUGGAAUUCCUGGUGUAGCGGUGAAAUGCGCAGAUAUCGGGAGGAACACCAAUGGCGAAGGCAGCUCGCUGGGACGGUACUGACGCUGAGACGCGAAAGCGUGGGGAGCAAACAGGG
rnacentral:rRNA from 1 species